CCAGCUGAGGCCUCCCAUAGUCCCCGGCAGCUGUGAGCAGCCCCUCCAGAGAUCUGCCUGUGCUGAGGCUACGGUGCCAAAGGGCCACUGGGGGUGCUCAGGCCAAGAGUCCUGUCUGAGUCCCGGCUUUUGGCCAGACCAGAUGUGGAGGGCGCCUUCUGAGAGCUCGGACCAGCCACCUGCCAGCGGAAUGCACAGAGCAUCCAUGCCACGGGGACCGAAGAAUCACCCAGCUAAGCCCCAAACACUCCUGAACCACGCGAUGAUGAAGGAACCUGAUGAAACAGUUGGGGUUUGAGUUCCCUAAGCUUAGGUAAAUUCAAUCACACCCAGUGAUUUCUCCGCCAACCCCCAGUGUCCUCUGUCCCCCUCCUCAAAGCUGUGUCUCCACCCGGUCCUGAGAGUGGCUCCCGGCAGUGGCUCUCAGAGUGGCACCUGCAGUCUGUGGUCACCGUCACAGGCCUUCUCCCUAACCACCUGAAGGUCCCCAGGGGACACCGCCUGCCCAGGUGCCCCUCUCUGCAGAAGGCCUCUCCCAGCCAGUGGGCUUCCCUCUGAAAGCAGAGAAACUUCCAGACAGAUUGCCAAGGCCCCUCCAGCAGCAAACCACGCCUGGCCAUGCGAGGAGGGGUCCUUGCUGCUCGUGUCUGGCGGGCACAGCCCCUUCUCAGCGUCUCAGAUGGAGGGAGGUUUGACCAUUGGUCCGUGGCAGCCAGUCUACUGAGGAGGGAAAUGGGGAGGAGGCACAGCGGCCGUGACUCUGUCUGUGUAGAUGUUAUGCACGGACUAGACGGGUGUCUUCCAAAUCCCAUGUUCCUCACUAUGUGCUCCAGACUCAGGGUCUGUGUGCUCAACCAACUUGAAGAUCAACAGCAACACCCUUUCACAGAAAAAGCCUGGUCCUCAAAGACCAAGAAGGACUUGUCUUUCAAGACAGACUCUGCUUUGCAUUUAAGACAAAACAAACAGUCACACAACAGCACCAACUAUGAAAACACCUUCCCGUAGAAACCCACUGACUUCCUGUUCCCCCGGCACCCUGCCGCCUCAUCUCCCCGGGGGCAUGGACAAGGGUGUGUGCACACGUGUGCACCUGUGUGUUGGGGAGACAGCUCUGAGGAGGGAGAGGGUCAAUUUAAAAAAUAUCAGUUUGUGUCUCUGGAUUCCAUCCAGUCAUAGAUAAAUGCAGACAUUUACGAAAUA